rnacentral:rRNA from 1 species
GUGGGGAAUAUUGGGCAAUGGGCGAAAGCCUGACCCAGCAACGCCGCGUGAAGGAAGAAGGCCUUCGGGUUGUAAACUUCUUUUAUGAGGGACGAAGGACGUGACGGUACCUCAUGAAUAAGCCACGGCUAACUACGUGCCAGCAGCCGCGGUAAUACGUAGGUGGCAAGCGUUGUCCGGAUUUACUGGGUGUAAAGGGCGCGUAGGCGGACUGGCAAGUCAGAUGUGAAAUCCAUGGGCUCAACUCAUGAACUGCAUUUGAAACUGUUGGUCUUGAGUGUCGGAGUGGCAAGCGGAAUUCCUAGUGUAGCGGUGAAAUGCGUAGAUAUUAGGAGGAACACCAGUGGCGAAGGCGGCUUGCUGGACGAUAACUGACGCUGAGGCGCGAAAGCGUGGGGAGCAAACAGGAUUAGAAACCCGAGUAGUCC